AAGCUCCAUGGAAGUAGAAACUUCUGCAAAACCAGGGCCGGCAUUCACCGUGUACAAGGAGCACACAGGGCAAUGCGUGGUCUAUUCACAGUAAUCAUGUAGUUACCUAAUGAACCCCAAAUUGCCCCCAUAGUGUUGUAAUAAAGGGACUUGCUUCGGUCAAAGAAGUCAGGGCACACUUCCAUGAAGAAACAGUGAAUGAGGGAGGAGGGAACAGGAUGGGCAAACCCGGGGUGCUCUGAAGAGACGUAGGAUGCUUACGUAGCUUUAAGCAGAAAUGUUUUUGUUUUGUUUUGUUUUGUUUUGUUUUGUUUUUCUGGCGCAUGUAUCAAAAAAGACGGUCUUAGAGAAGUCCUGACUUUAAAAUGGACUGUGUUACAGCUUCACCGUGGACUGUUUGGAGAAGGGCGAAAGAGACUGUUCUUAGAAAACCAGACCUGUGGGCAAGCCUCAGCUAAAUAGUAAUGUGUCACUUCAGAGUUGGCCACAAGUUGAAUCUUUUAAAAAUUGCAUCCUUCUUCAAGUGCAGGAUGGGAUCUCUCUACAUGUAAGGUGGUUACACUAUGGGUAUUUUAUACAGUUAUUUUAUUCAAAUUGUCACUCUCUUAAUUCUUUGAUUUCUAAUAAAUUUUACAACCAUGAACAUCCUCAGCGACCCUAGAUCUUGAAUCCAAUCCCUGCAUGUUACAUCUUGAUGGGGAAACUGAGGUCCAAAGCCCCCGUACAGAUGCCUAUUGACAGAGUCGCUACCCUGCAUGGCACAAAACAAUGGAAAACAUGUGAUUCAAACAAUCGGUGUGGUCAAAGAGGAUACCCCCUCCCUAGGAUUGGCUCUCAAAUACAACCAGUUACCAAGAUUGAUAAGCCUUUGGGCUCCCAGAAGGCCAAGCAGUCUUUUUUUUUAUUUUUUUAUUUUUAUUAUUUUUUUUGAUGUGGUAAAUCCAGGAGGAUACUAUGCGACGGUAAGAAACUAUGUCCCUACCAUUCACUUGCAGUUGCUCAGCUCAGUUUGUCAGUUCGAAUGGAGAAAGGACCCUUGAGGGGUGAGGGGCACUAAGGACAAGCUACAAUGGGCAUUUUGAAAAGACAGUAACUUUUUCUUUUUCUAUGGCAUUUAGAGCCCAGACUUGAAUUCCUUACUCAAUUAAAACGCCCACCAAGAUCAGGCACAGUUUAAACCAUGCCAUGCAGGAUGCCGACAGCCUUUCUGGAAGAAGCCGUAGAAAGGACUCUGAGGAAGGGCUUGGAAAAUCUUGAGAGAGGACAGACCACCGGCCAUCCCCCUGAUGAUGCCUCUCAUCCUGCUCUCUCGGGAAGCUUCCCCCCGGGGGGGGGGGGAGUGUGGAGCAGAUAUAAGAAAUGGAGACUGCAGGGCUAGAAGUUUCCACAACUUGGAGGUCCUGAGAUAAAGUUGGCAACCUACCUGUGGACUCUGGUGGCCUUUGGGAGAAGAGCCUAGAAAAAAUGAAAGCAGAGUUGGCAGGAGACCCAGGGGAGCUAGCUGGAAGGCCCGGCUGAAACAGGCUCCGAGCCUAGUCUGAGCCGCAGAGGAGCAACAGAGAAGGAUCCAAGGCUGGCUCCGUACCUUGCCAGCAGUGUGACCAUGGGCCUACUUAACUUCUUAAGUCACAGUUGUUGUUGUUUUUUUUCCUUGUUGGGACAUUGCACAUAGAGUUGCUGAGAAUACUAAAGGUCACCAAACUAAAUGCUUGGUGUGAAUCUGAUACUUAAGAAAUAUCCAUCCAUCCAUCCAUCCAUCCAUCCAUCCAUCAUCAUCAUCAUCAUCACCAUCACCAUCAUCACCAUCACCAUCGUCACCGAAAUAAGAGGACUUUAGACCAUGUGGCUCCCAGGACUUGGUAAGCAACGUUUUCACAUAAAUACCAAGUCAGUUGAUAUCUGUGGUCACUCUAGGAAGCUGCCACUUCUCUUAAGAUGGCAGGUGCUGAUGGUAUAGAGUUUAACCACAUGAAGGAACUAAAACGAACCAAAUGAACCAAAAACAAAACAAAACAACCCCACCAGUCUGGUGAGAACUUCCACACCUAGGGUUGACCUAGACGUGGUCCAGAGUUUGAAAAAGAGGUUUCCAAGAGAGAGGGUGAAUGUUCUUCUUAACCCACAGCCCUUGAGCAUGUGUGAGCCGAAGAGGGUAAGAGGACUCUGUUUUGAGACCCCGGUACCAAGGUGGUGGUCUCCUCUAGUUAGAGCCAUCACCAUGGUGUGAGCAUGUGGUAUAUACCAUGACAAUUGCACACAGAGGAGGUACCGGGCUUUUGCAGUGAUAUGAGGCAGAUGACACCUUUAUCCAGGGCCAAGGCUGAGAGUCACCAGAGUCACUGAUGCUUUGCUUUAGCAGAGGCUCAACCUUGGUGGGCCAAGCUCUGCAGCCAUUGGAGGAACUGGCCACGCUCAGAGCUGCCGAAGUGGGUCCCAGGAGUGCGCUGGCGAUCUAGAAGGGCGGAUGAAAGCAGAGGAGAGAGGAACAGCCUGUGCUGUGGGUACGAGCCCAAUUUUCCCUUCAGCCUGGCGUGGCCUAGGAAACCCCACAUUAACUGCGGUAAACAAAUCAUUAGGAACCCUAAAGAACGGGCCUGGCCCCACCCCCUUCUGCAAACACCCGGGCAAGCAAACCAGUGUCGUUUUAAAACAGCUUUCUGAGUAGAUCGGGGGUUUUGAAGCUGAGAAUCAGGAGAAGCAGUUAGCUAGGAAAUCAGUCUUGUGGGUACGAGCAGAUUUUGAAAGUUCAUGAUUCUGAAUUGCAAUGAGUUGCUCUCGUAAGGGUAACUGUUGCCACUGUGAGCUUUUUGACUCCAUUCAGUAUGUGUGCGUGCUUGAGUCCAUUGUGCUGACAGAAAUUGUGUUUCUUAUAAAGUGACUUACAGCUGAAGAAAAGAAAGACUGAAGUGAAGAGGAAGGGGAGAGAAGGAGAUAAAACCCCCAACACACCAGAUCAGAAUAGGCUAAGGAUCUUUGACCACACCCAGGAUCUGUGAAGCAGCAGAGAAAUGAUCCAGUAACCUUCACUUGCUGAUGGACGGCAGACAUUGGGCCUGCUGGAAUAUCGUUCCUACUUGCUCCGUGGCCUUGAACGCAUUGCUUGGCCUCUCUGUGUCUCACUUUCUACAUUGAUAAGGUCAAAAUAAUACCAUGUUUGCAUUAUUAACAUUAGGAUAAAUUAUGAUGCGCAUGUGUCUGUGUGUGUGUGUGUCUGUAUGUGUAUGUGUCUGUGUGUGUCUCUGUAUGUGUCUGUGCAUCUCUCUGUCUCUCUCUGUCUCUGUCUCUGUCUCUGUCUCUGUCUCUCUCUCUCUCUCUGUGUGUGUGUGUGUGUGUGUGUGUGUGUGUGUGUGUGUGUGUGUGUGUGUGCUUGAUGGAGGUAUUCAAUGACUGACGGUUCUGUCAGAAUUGCAUAGGAAGUGGUAAAGGCAGCCGGAGGAGGGCCAGCUCUCUAUGAGGAUUUAUGAGUAGUAUCAUUUAGGACUCUUUGGUAGCAAGUGAGAGACUCUGUUCCACCUCUGCCAACCUAAGCAUACAGGAACCUGUUUCCAUGGUGAUAGCCUCAUGAAUCCAAGAAAGGGCUGGCCAAGCAGGUUUUAAGAUAGAGAAACUUGUGAGAGCUUGGGGACCUUGGUGGCCUUCUCUUAUCCUUAUGUAUCUCCUCAAAGGUGAGAGACCGAGGGCUAAGCUGCUGGUGCCAGGUGCCCAUCAUCCAUCAGCUGCGAUCACAAGCGUCUUGGCUGGCAUUCCCACAGAGGCGGGGGAUGGGAGAGGGCUGGUUUCUGAAGGAAAGCUUGCUGCUGCUUCUGGAGGCAGAGGAAUGGGCACUGGGCAGGCGAACCGGAGGGGCACAUACCAUGGCACCUGGAUCUGCUAGCUAACUGUUGCUGUUUCCCCGGCCCUAUCCCACCACACCCAGCUGCACUGUUUUCCAGAGAAAUGGUGAGAAGACUGUUUGCACAAACAGCUAUGGAACAUUUCUCAAAGGACAAGUAGACCGUGCUCCUCCAAAGAGAGAAUCGGUGGGGUUUUACCUCUUCUGACCCAAGAGAACAAAGCUUUGGCUCGGAGGAAUAAAAAACAAAAUCAGAUGCUUAUAUAAUGCCUGUCCGAUGCCAGCUGACAUCCUAAUGCAGAUUCCAUGUACUAAGUCACAGCAGUCCCCUGUGCUAGGUGUUGCUAUUAUCCCCACCCCUACCACUUCUAGAAAGGACUAUUAUUCUUCCCCCUUUAGUCACAGAAAAGGAAGUACAGUCAGAAGAAGCUUGGUUCAGGGCCACCCUAGCUAGUGAGACUGGUUCUGGGCUCUAACCUGAGACUUCUGACUGGCAUCCACAGAGUUAGCUGCCUCUCUGAUGAGCCACAGGGAACUGGAUAUACUGUGUGUUGCUUUGGACGCCAACAGUACCAGAGCCUUAAGGCAUUGCUAUUGAACUACAAUUCCCAGCAUGCAUCUGAGAGAGCUAUUCCCCUUAACUCCUUCUUCACCAAAAACUCCCUCACGGCCUUGUAUAAAGUCAUUUUUCAAUGACAAAAUUCAACCUCUCUAUGGAAUGCCUGUGCAAUUGCAUGAAUGUAGUUGUGGGUGGGGUGAGUUUCUAGGUUAAAAUACCUUUUGCAUUUCCAGUGUCCAAAAGAAGACAUGAGAGAUUUAGCACAAUGAAGAUCUGCAAGCUUCAAAAUAUGCACUGUGGAAACUCAACACGGGUCUCAAACUUAGCUAAACUUUGGAAUCACACGAGAAAAUCUGAAAGCUCAUAAUACCUAUGUCACAGAGAGGUUAUAAUUUAGUUGUUGUUGUUUUGAGACAGGGUCUCACUAUUUAUCUCUGGCUGUCCUGGUACUCACAGCUGGCCUUGAACUCACAGAGAUCUACUUACCUCUACCUCUCAAGUGCUUGGCUUAUAGGUGUGCUAUCAUGCUAAGCUAUAACUUGCUUUUUGUUUUGUUUUGAUUUUUAAAGUCUACCCACUGGAACUUUUGAGGGAAUCCUCCAAUGAACUCUAAGGGAUCCUGCAGAAGCACACCUCUCUGAUACCUAGGGAAGUGUCAGGGUUGGCCAAGAGGCAGACAUGUUGAACAAGGAGAAACAGCCUCUUCUGAAGAAAUAGAAAGCUGAUUGGGACAUAAAAGAACUAUAAACAAUAUGGAGGCUUAACGACAACUCCAGCAGGAGUGAUGGUCUCCAACAAAAGGACAAGAAGGAAGCAGAGUGGAGACUGCAGUCAAGUGAGAAGAAAGGGAGCAGGUCUGAUGGCUUAAAAAGGCUUCUUUGAAGGGAGGGCACACAACUUACUUCUCUGUUCCCUUAAGGGAGUGGUCGCUAGCCAGGGAAAGGAGGCAAAACUGUUUGAGGAAAAGAAAUGUUGACUUAGAGGUAUGAGCUUGAGUUUUUAUUUACUGUUAAAAAAAUUAAAUCACAUUUCACUUCAUUGUACCACUGGUCUCCAUGGCUGACGUUAUACAUUUCAUGUUUCGAGGCUGAGCUGAAAGUGAAUGGGGGCUCCGGCUUAAUAAGGGAAGAGCCACUCCUGACUCACGUUGGCAGCAGAAAUUGAACCACUUUUUCGCCUGAUUCAAUUGUUUCUCAGAGAAGGAAAACAGUGUUGUUGAUUGAUCAUGGUGAUGAUAAAUAGUGUGAUGGUGAUGAUGGUGGUGGUGGUGAUGGCGGCGAUGAUGAUUAACCUAUAUUGUUGCUUUAUCUUGUUCCAAGAACUGUUCUAUAUGCUUUAGAAUAAAAUAUCCCACUUAGUCAUUAUACCAUAGAUUUGGCCCUCCAGUUUUAAGUCAGGAAACUGAGGUUCAGCAAGGUUAAGUAGCUUAGAAUCAUAACCUUAGAUUCUAUGAGUUUAAUAAUCUCUCCAUCUCCACAGGUCUCCAUGCACCGCAGUGGUUUCCUGGAAUAAAGCUGAGGAAAGGUGAUCUCACCCCCGUCUACAUGGAGGAAGUUGUGCGAGUAUGGGGCUUCCACGAGAUGGUGAGUAUUGGGCUCAAACACUGCUCUAGCUGCAUCGACAGGACUGGGUUGGAAGGGCUGGCCUGUGGGAGGAUUGUCUCUGAGACAGAAUGGAAAGGUGAUGGACCACGGUUGGUUUCUGCCCACGAACCUGCGACCUGUGCAACCUUGGGUACAACUCUUAAUGCCUUUGCUCUGGUUUUCCAAGGAAAUUCUUGGGCUACGUUAUCUCUAAUGAUGCUCUCCUUAUAAACUUUCCCUGCCAGCAACCCAACUAGGAAGCAAUUAUUGAAAAGGCAAGGGCAGUGUCGAACAGGUUUUGGCACACUGAAAAGUAAUGAGUAGAAGCUGCUUGCGUGUUCUAGACAUCUGAAAACACUAGGUCUAGUUGCCUUCCUGUUUUUUUUUCUUUUUCUUGAGCGUUUUGUUUUGCUUCGCUUGGUGCUAUGGGCCUGCAGCUAGUGAAUAGAUGAACAUUAUUUAUGGAUAUUCUUGGAUGCUCAAGGAAUGCUCAGGACAGAAUGAGUCCUUAUUUAGCAAGGGGGAUGUUAUAGAAGGCUGUGGAAGCAGAGGCUGUGGAGACACAUGAGGACUUCUCAUUUUAUUUUGGCUCUAGAAUUCUCAUCCUGUGUGUGGAUAUUAAUUCAGAACACUCAUGCCUUUCUAGGAAGUCCUUGGAAAUGACUGUGGGGAGUUCUGCCAUCAACCUAGCUAGAAAAUUUCAUUUGCAUGUGCUGGAUGAAAAAUGUUCAAAGGCUACAAAUCUUGGGUCCUUCAUACACAAUGAAGAAUUAUCCUGUCCCAAAUGUACUUAGAUCUCUGGCCAAGAAGGAACCAAAGAGGAUUGCAUGGUUGAAAACAUAGUGAAUCUUUUGGUGCAGUUUUCUAAACAUUUAUCAAUAACGUAUCCAUUAAUUCAAGGAACCUACAUACUGCCAGUAUAGAAUCUGAAACAAAUGGGCAGUUCUGAUAAGAAAGGAGGCAUGGCCCUGUGCUCUUAGCCAAGACAUCCUUUUAUUAGGCUUCACCAUCCCCAUCUCUACAGAGUUAAUAUCCUUUGACUCCCUAAAUUCUCUCUCUAGAAAAAAACACUGUGCUCAAAAGACAAGGUCUAGGGGCUGUAGAGAUGGCUCAGCGGUUAAGAGCACUGACUACUCUUCCAGAGGUCCUGAGUUCAAUUCCCAGCAACCACAUGGUCGCUCACAACCAUCUGUAAUGGGAUUUGAUGCCCUCUUGUGGUGUGUUUGAAGACAGCUACAGUAUACUCAUAUACACUAAAUAAAAUAAACAAAUAAAUAUUUAAAAAGCC